GCAGCAGUAGGGAAUCUUCCACAAUGGACGAAAGUCUGAUGGAGCAACGCCGCGUGAGUGAAGAAGGAUUUCGGUUCGUAAAACUCUGUUGCAAGGGAAGAACAAGUAGCGUAGUAACUGGCGCUACCUUGACGGUACCUUGUUAGAAAGCCACGGCUAACUACGUGCCAGCAGCCGCGGUAAUACGUAGGUGGCAAGCGUUGUCCGGAAUUAUUGGGCGUAAAGCGCGCGCAGGUGGUUCCUUAAGUCUGAUGUGAAAGCCCCCGGCUCAACCGGGGAGGGUCAUUGGAAACUGGGGAACUUGAGUGCAGAAGAGGAUAGUGGAAUUCCAAGUGUAGCGGUGAAAUGCGUAGAGAUUUGGAGGAACACCAGUGGCGAAGGCGACUGUCUGGUCUGUAACUGACACUGAGGCGCGAAAGCGUGGGGAGCAAACAGGAUUAGAUACCCUGGUAGUCCACGCCGUAAACGAUGAGUGCUAAGUGUUGGGGGGUUUCCGCCCCUCAGUGCUGCAGCUAACGCAUAAGCACUCCGCCUGGGGAGUACGGUCGCAAGACUGAAACUCAAAGAAAUUUGACGGAA
rnacentral:rRNA from 1 species